rnacentral:rRNA from 1 species
AACGAACGCUGGCGGCAUGCCUAACACAUGCAAGUCGAACGAGACCUUCGGGUCUAGUGGCGCACGGGUGCGUAACGCGUGGGAACCUGCCCUUAGGUUCGGAAUAACUCCCCGACAGGGGUGCCAAUACCGGAUAAUGUCUUCGGACCAAAGAUUUAUCGCCUUUGGUUGGGCCCGCGUUGGAUUAGCUAGUUGGUAGGGUAAAAGCCUACCAAGGCGACGAUCCAUAGCUGGUCUGAGAGGAUGGUCAGCCACACUGCGACGGAGACACGGCCCAGACUCCUACGGGAGGCAGCAGUGGGGAAUAUUGGACAAUGGGCGAAAGCCUGAUCCAGCAAUGCCGCGUGAGUGAUGAAGGCCUUAGGGUUGUAAAGCUCUUUUACCCGGGAUGAUAAUGACAGUACCGGGAGAAUAAGCUCCGGCUAACUCCGUG